rnacentral:rRNA from 1 species
UACCGUCGUGCCAAGAAAAGCCUCUAAGCAUAUCCAUAGUCGUCCGUACCGCAAACCGACACAGGUAGAUGAGAUGAGUAUUCUAAGGCGCGUGAAAGAACUCUGGUUAAGGAACUCUGCAAACUAGCACCGUAAGUUCGCGAUAAGGUGUGCCGUAGCAAUGCGGUCUCAGCAAAGAGUCCCUCCCGACUGUUUACCAAAAACACAGCACUUUGCCAACUCGUAAGAGGAAGUAUAAGGUGUGACGCCUGCCCGGUGCUCGAAGGUUAAGAGGAUGCGUCAGUCGCAAGAUGAAGCGUUGAAUUGAAGCCCGAGUAAACGGCGGCCGUAACUAUAACGGUCCUAAGGUAGCGAAAUUCCUUGUCGGUUAAAUACCGACCUGCAUGAAUGGCGUAACGAGAUGGGAGCUGUCUCAACCAGAGAUUCAGUGAAAUUGUAGUGGAGGUGAAAAUUCCUCCUACCCGCGGCAAGACGGAAAGACCCCGUGGACCUUUACUACAGCUUAGCACUGCUAAUGGGAAUAUCAUGCGCAGG